GGAGUCUGGGCCGUGUCUCAGUCCCAAUGUGGCCGGCCAACCUCUCAGUCCGGCUACUGAUCGUCGCCUCGGUGGGCCGUUACCCCGCCGACAAGCUAAUCAGACGCAUCCCCAUCCCGCAGCGAUGAAUCUUUGCUCCUCGUUAGAUGCCUGCAAAGGAGAACAUAGGGCAUUAAUCCGACUUUCGCCGGGCUGUUCCCUACUGCGGGGAAGGUUGGAUACGCGUUACUCACCCGUGCGCCGGUCGUCAGCAAGAAAAGACAAGCUUCUCUCCUGCUACCCCUCGACUUGCAUGUGUUAAGCCUGUAGCUAGCGUUCAUC
rnacentral:rRNA from 1 species